AGCGAACGCUGGCGGCAGGCCUAACACAUGCAAGUCGAACGAACUCUUCGGAGUUAGUGGCGGACGGGUGAGUAACACGUGGGAACGUGCCUUUAGGUUCGGAAUAACUCAGGGAAACUUGUGCUAAUACCGAAUGUGCCCUUCGGGGGAAAGAUUUAUCGCCUUUAGAGCGGCCCGCGUCUGAUUAGCUAGUUGGUGAGGUAAAGGCUCACCAAGGCUACGAUCAGUAGCUGGUCUGAGAGGAUGACCAGCCACAUUGGGACUGAGACACGGCCCAAACUCCUACGGGAGGCAGCAGUAGGGAAUCUUGCGCAAUGGGCGAAAGCCUGACGCAGCCAUGCCGCGUGUAUGAUGAAGGUCUUAGGAUUGUAAAAUACUUUCACCGGGGAAGAUAAUGACGGUACCCGGAGAAGAAGCCCCGGCUAACUUCGUGCCAGCCGCCGCCGUAAAAC
rnacentral:rRNA from 1 species